UUUUUUUUAUCAUUAUUGCCAUACUAAAAAGAUUCUUAGAUUGCCACUGAUCUCAGUCUGCAUUUUAACUGCCUUAAAUUCUACAUUCAUUUGCAAGUGGAGGCCAGAGUCAGGUUGGCAACAAGUUUGUAGACAAAAGGAAAUCCUGGCUGUAAAUCCCAUAAUAUAUGGCACUCUGCUUCAUAUGGGAUGGUCUAAUGCGGAGACUUAUUAAGGAACAGCUAGCCCGCAGGGGCUCCCGUUCCAGGGAACUUACUGCAGGUUAACGUCUUGCUCAUUGUCGACACCGCCACGUUACAUUCGUAAGGAGCAGAUUUUAAUUUCUUUAUCAGUAAUCAACUGGAAGUUUCUUUUUGUUAAAUUACAGCAAGAAGGGUUUUCAAAUAAAGGGCAUGGGGGUAGGACGCCACCUUUUGGUGAUAAAAAUAAAUAGAAAUCCUUUUUGGAAACAUGUUCCUGACAUAAUUUUAUUUUUAAUUACACCCAGGCAAUGGUGCUUGUCCCCGUUUCCUCAUAUUUUAAGGUACACGAAAGAAAAAGAACAAUAUAAAUGGACAAUUAGCAGAUUACUGCUAACUGCAGCCAGGAUUUCCCCAGAAGUACCAGAAUGUGUCGGUGUCCUGCCGCACACCGCCAACUAGACAUCAGCCAGAGCCUUAAUCUCCACGUACUGUGCCACGGAAUAUGUGCACAUUUUGGGAAAAGGACUUGGAGUGGAGACAGUUGCCACCUCCUGAGAUGCCUGAACUCCUGGAAGUUUAGAAUUGAGCAGAAAUCAGAACAACCUUGUUCAGUGUCUCUUAAACCAGAGUUAGCGCCUUCCCAAUUUUUUUGCGCUAUCUAUAUGACGUCAUUUCUACAUAAUCCUCACACUGUACUCACUGGUGGGCAGAUGUGGUGGUGGUGUACCAUUUCCACUUCACAUCAACCUACUUGGCAUUUUUCUUUUACUACUUUCAGAGGGAAUAUGUGUCCGCCUCCAUAAACAAGCACAGUGAAACAAAGUUACUGAUUUCUGUUUGUGCGAGUUUAGCGAAAGGAAAGUAGAAAAUGCAUUAAAAGAGAUUGACCAGGUACACUAAAGGUCCUGGAGACUUUUACAGAUGCAAACCUCUCUGAAGGUUUUUCUUCUCCCCCUGCACGCCCCCGGGCUCUGGAACAAGCAGAAGGAUUCAAAGUGAUUGAAAAGGAUACAGUCCUCAGCAUGGGAGUCUCCGCUCGCUAAUGCCAGCCCGUGCCCAGGCUGCACAGCAGCGUUAUCAGAUUGCAGGUGAGGCCCUGGGAUUUAAACCAUUCUCCAGAGCCAAAUGAUUGGUUAGUGACUGGACGAGAUGCGAACCCAGGAGUGCUGACCUGGUGAAUUUCCAUCUCACUUUUUCCACAUUCACAGAUGUGACCCAUCCUCAGACCUCAGGCAGCAUGCCUAGCUCCCCAGGAACAGCCAUCCUGUGUAUCCCUUUAGAGACAUGGAGAAACCGAGGCCACGCUCAAGAUCAAGUUCAACGCCCUUCUCAGCCUCUCGGAUGUGGCAGACACCUGAGUGGGCAAACACAGGGCAGAGGGAGGGCUGCAGGGGCGGAUUUGCAAGUGUGGGUGGGCCGUUCUCAAAAUGAAAGCCAAAACCUUUGAUUUCCCUCCCAGAAGGUGAAAAAUACUAAUGAAAAUCACGUGUUUUACCCUAAGUGCCAGGAGGAGCCCAUCCUCUCUGUGCCCAUGCCCCUGUCUGUCCAAGCUGGAGGUCAGCAGGGUGUCUGCUGUUUUACCGUAUAUGAUACCAACGGGCACUGAGACCCAAUCACAUUUGCUAACUGUGUGGCUGGAAAAGUUAGCCAGGGGGCCCUGAUCGACUCCAGCUUUGCAAGUAUUUUCCUUAAAAACAAACUUCGCAGGCUCAGAUUUAAAUCUGGAGAUGUAGUGUCCUUUGUGAUAUCCUAACCAGACAGGGGCUUUAGCUACCAAGACCGCAUUUCCUGCCUUGUUUUAUUUUGUUCCUUUAAAGGAUGCAGUUGUAUACACAGAAGUAAAUAUGGCCUGCCAACAGCUUUACGUUUUUUCUAAAUUGGUCCUUGUGACAAGAGGUUGCCAAGAACUCUACUGUAUAGCAGUUGGCCCCAGGGACCAGAUGGAUUGGAGUCCCUCUGCAUGACAAUGCACAAGAAAGGACUUGGCCAGUUACCUUCAUGCCAAAGAGCUGUCCCUGCGCCCUGAGCCCUGAGCACCCCUGCAAAAUGUUGGUACCUCAAAGACACAUGAAGGGAGUAUCGGAGGCGCAACCAGCUGCCAGUGCUAGAUCCCUCUUGCCUCUAGCCUUGUUGUGCAAAGUAUGAUGUGCUCCCCUGUCACACACCUGAGGGCAUCUUAAAAUGCAGAAUCUCGGCCCCACCCGAGGCCUACUGAAUCAAAAUCUGCAUUUUUUGCAACAGCAUCCGCUGAGCCUCCCCCAGGCUGAGAUGAAGUACUACAACCAGCCACAUCUGGGUCCUCUUUACAGCUUGGCACUAUUUGACAGAAGUUCCCAUGAGCCGUCCGUCGGUCAUACCUGAUUCUCCAAACGGGCAUCUUUUAUAAACAUGGGUUAGUUUCUUCUUUUUUAUCCACUUAUAAAGUUAAGCCAUUAAAUCACCCAUGUAAAGCAUGCUUAAUUCCUUUGACAUUAAUAACAGGGUGACUUCUCUCUCCUGUUACCCCAAAGAGACUGCUAAUUGCACUGCAAUUGUUUACCUUUGUAUUGUUUUAUGAGAACUCAGGGAAAGAUGGAAGAUCUUCCCCACCAGGCCAGGAGCAAAACGCCAGACAGGUUUUGGAAAGCCUGAGCACAUGCUAUGACUACACCUUGUUAGUAGAAGGGCUUUGCUUUCUUGGUUUUGUUUUCUUUUUUAUGGAAGGAAUGACGCCUCCAUAAUUAUAGGUGUUGCUGUUUAAAUCUCAGAAUGUUUUCCAAACCGUGGAGGGGCCACACCUCCAGCAGCCGCCUGUGAGCCAUUGGGGUUGGACUCUCUCUCCAGCUUGAUGAACAGUUUAUAAAGACCCAUCGGAGGGCGCCAGGAUUUCCAUGAGCUGGAGGGACAGCAAGGGGUCCUGGUCCGAGUAGGGCUGCUUCCUGCCUGGACAUGAAGGACCCUCAGGUACUCUGCAGCCCUGGUGAGGUUCUCAGAGAGACGACAGUUGGUUCAUUUCCCUAACGAGACAACAGGUUCCUUUUGUAACCCCCC
rnacentral:lncRNA from 1 species